GAAACACAAGACGAGAGAGGGAAAGGGGUGGCGGUGGCGAGGGAACACCUACCGUCCAGAGGGUUGGUAAGGCCACUGCUGCUCCAGUCGAACUGGACGGGUGGGAGCGACUCCUGCUGGAGGAACGAGAAAGAAGGUGGAGCAGGCAGACGACUCACCAGGCUGGCGGCGUACAUGGGCACGAUGACCGGCUGCUUCUUCUGUCCCGUGAACAGCUGCACACAUUAAAGCAGCAGUGAGCUGGCUGGCGUCAGAGGGUCCGGCGGGGACUCACAAUGUUCCGGGUGUCGAUGCCGAGGCAGCAGAGUAGUGCUUUGUUGCAGUAGGAGCCCCCCCACUGGUAUCUGAGACCCAACGCCUCGUGGAUGUCCCGAAG